UCUUUGAACUAGCUAUUUUCAUGACUCAACUCGAGUCUUCUUGGUAUUUCUUUUGUUUUAUUUGCUCUGAUUUUGUAGAUUGCAUUAGUUUUAUUGAUUAAAUACGGUCGUAGAUUAUUGGAUUACCAUGAAAAUUUCUGUUUGGUUAAAUUAGAUCUGGUCAUAAGGUUUAGUUGAUUUACAGCAUUGCGCUCUAUAUAGUCCUCUAAAACAGUGCAAUCUCUUCAUCGACUGCCUGAAGGAUGGGGAUUCCAUGGGGUGAGUUUUGUAUUUGUUUUAGCUUUAACGAGGACAUUGUUAAGAAUCAAAGAUUGUUACAGAGACAUCAGUAUAUGUAACUGCAAUCUUUCUAACUCUGCCUUAUCCAUAUAAGAAAAGGAGCGUAGUACAAAUAUUAAAGGAUAUGGGAAGUGAACAAAUAUGGAAAAAAAGGGACCGGAGGGUGGGGCAGGAGUGAGAGAAAGAUCCGGAGACUGGCAAUUAUAUUGGGUGCUGAACGUGGGGAAAGCUUUAAAGGGAAGAAAACAUUAAUAGGAUUAUAUUAGAAUCAGAUAAAAAAUAGAGAAAAACAGUUUCCUAAAGUGAUAAUUAUAAGGGUUUUUUUGUAUGAAUAUUUUUUUAAAAAUUCAAAUUUGAGUGAAUACCUUUUAAAAUUUAUAUUUAUUUCUAUACUUUCAUAAAACACUUUUUUUACACACACAAAUACCUCUAUGACAGUUUUUCU
rnacentral:lncRNA from 1 species